AACGAACAAAAGUUUUAAAUCACGUUAAACUUUAAUGUUUGUUUUAUUUAAGGAUCUGAAUCUUAAUCCUAAUUCAAUCCACUUUGUUUAAUCCAAGAUGUGUUUCCUUUACAGAGUUACAUUUUAUUUUUAAAUAUGUCAAAAACAAAAAGUGUUUCAGGGAUUUUAAUAAAAUCUUUUCAGACUUACUUUGAACAUUUUGUUUUUGUUUUCUUUUAUUUUAAAAACAUAAUUUAUUCAGUUCGUUUAGUCAGACGUUCUAAAAUAAUUCAUCUUUAAACUGCUGCCCCAGGAAAACAAGGCUUUAUCUACGGGUUGGUGGUCUGAUGUUCCUGGAUUCGGUUCGGAUGUCGUCACUGAACCAGCUGCUACAGUGAGGUCACAGAGGUCACACUCCUCCUCUCCUCUCAGCCAGAAGGCCUUUCCUCUGAUGAAGCCAAACCAGGAAUAGAGCUUCAGCUCUGAGCUGCAGAGGAACGGGUCAGGUGUCCUUCACCGUCGUUUUUUGUCUGAUUUUAAACAUCAGAGUUCUCCAGCUGCUGAAGGUUCUCUCCUGAACUUCAUGUUUCUGUUCCCAUCAAAAUCGGAGAAACAUUCAUGUUUCCGGAGCAGACACGAGACAAUAUCAGCUGUUUCUACUCUCGUGAUGACACCAGCAGUAAUCUGGGUGUUCUGUCUGAACUGGUAGAUGAGCAGCUGUUUUCUCAGAAUUUGCUCUAAUCUGACCCCUGCUGUCCAGUUAGGAGGCUUUCUGAAGGUUCUGGGUUUGGUACCUGAUUGAAGAAUUCCUGUAAGAGGCAGUCCAGCCAGGGUUCUGCCACCUCCAUGGGCCGAGCUUCAUUAGAAAUAUCGCUGACUUUGAUCAGGACCAUC